rnacentral:lncRNA from 1 species
UUACACUUUCUGAAUUGUUAUUGUACUGUGUUGGUCUUUCUGUUUGUUACGGUAUCUAAUUUCUGGGGUGAAAGUUAGCUUUUUAUAAUGAUGUGUGUGUAUUCAGUGAAAAGUUCUGAGUAACUCUUUUUCAAGUAUUUUCUCUGCAGAACAGUCUUAGUUAUCUCUAAUGCAAAGAAUGAGAUGUGCUUUAGUGAUCAUCUCUGAGAAGCAUCUUUUUUUCUUUAUGCUUCCAAUGGCACACGUUUUCUGGCAGAGUUAAAAUGCAGUUUUCCGGGGCAGCUGCCAUCUUUUUAAACCAUGAGAUCACUUUCUCUUUUCUGCAUCUUUCUUUAUUUAAAGGUGAUCACCUUUUGUACCAAAUGCAACAUUAGUUACAGCUGCCUUCAAGUUACAGUUACCCUUCUGACAACAGUACACAAGACGUAGGAACAAAAUAUGAGCAGGCCAUGAAAUAUCUCUUGGAAAUGCAUAUACAACAGGAGUAACAAGGGAUUGACGAAUGAAGUGGACAGAAUUAUUUGCAGAGACGUAUGCCUCUUUCUUCUCUGCGACUCCUUCGAUUUCAAACAGCAGACGGGUUUUACUGAAGAAUCGUGAUGAAGUACAGUCUUGUGAGCGCUGUCAGGAAAAGGAACCAUGAAAUACCGUUUAAUCUCCAGAGAAGUCCCGGGAAUGAUGUUGAAGACCCAUUUCCUUCUGUUUCACUACCAGGCUACUGCCAGUGACAGUUUAUGACAACACUUGAGUGGCUGUUGGAUCUGAGCACGAAAGAGAAAGAAAUAAUGCCCUAAGAAUUUCCAAGUGAGAAUUGUGGUAAGUGAAUUCAGGGUGAAGAAAAGAUGUUUAUUUUUGAGGGGACAACAACAGCCUUCUGGGACUUUACAUAGGCUCAUUUUAGUCUGAUCCAGUUCUCCAGGGCGGCUAUUGUGUUUUGAAUUGAAAUUGGGCUGUAUGAGAUCCCACCGCUUCUCCUUUUGCCUACUCAAAGCUAGUGAGCAUGGAGAAAUUGUGAGCCGUGAGAGACAGAACGUAAGGAACGUAUUGGCUUUGAAGCCCAGUUGUCCA